AACGAACGCUGGCGGCAGGCUUAACACAUGCAAGUCGAACGCACCUUUCGGGGUGAGUGGCGGACGGGUGAGUAACGCGUGGGAAUCUACCCUUCUCUACGGGAUAGCUCCGGGAAACUGGAAUUAAUACCGUAUACGUCCUGAGGGAGAAAGAUUUAUCGGGGAAGGAUGAGCCCGCGUUGGAUUAGCUAGUUGGUGGGGUAAAGGCCUACCAAGGCGACGAUCCAUAGCUGGUCUAAGAGGAUGAUCAGCCACAUUGGGACUGAGACACGGCCCAAACUCCUACGGGAGGCAGCAGUGGGGAAUAUUGGACACUGGGCGCAAGCCUGAUCCAGCCAUGCCGCGUGAGUGAUGAAGGCCCUAGGGUUGUAAAGCUCUUUCAGUGGGGACGAUAAUGACGGUACCCACAGAAGAAGCCCCGGCUAACUUCGUG
rnacentral:rRNA from 1 species